rnacentral:misc_RNA from 1 species
GACUUCAUGAAGUUGGAAUCGCUAGUAAUCGCGAAUCAGCAUGUCGCGGUGAAUACGUUCUCGGGGUUUGUACACACCGCCCGUCAAACCACGAAAGUGGACAAUACCCGAAAGCGAUAGCCUAACUGCGUAAGCAGAGGGCAUCGUCUAAGGUAGGGUCGAUGAUUGGGGUUAAGUCGUAACAAGGUAUCCCUACCGGAAGGUGGGGAUGGAUCACCUCCUUUCUAAGGAAAUUUUUUAAAAUCAUCAUCUUCAGUUUUGAAAGACUUAAGUUAAUUUAAGAAAAUAAGUUUUUCGUUUUUUCAUUAGUUAUUUCUUUUAAUAUAAUAUUCUUUAAGAUUUUAAGGGCCUAUAGCUCAGUUGGUUAGAGCACACGCCUGAUAAGCGUGAGGUCGGUGGUUCAAGUCCAUUUAGGCCCACCAGUCUAAAUGUACUGAAAAUCAAAAAAAGUUCUUUGAAAAGUAGAUAAACAACGUAAAUUCUCAAAAUAAUGAAGAAAAUAAGGGCGUACAGUGGAUGCCUUGGCACUAAGAGCCGAUGAAGGAC